rnacentral:piRNA from 1 species
CCCAUGCUGUCUGCUUGCAACUCCAUG